CUCGUGUUUUAUUAUUUCCUCUUAUUUCUAUUAAAGUUUUAAACACAAAAGCCAAAUAACUUAAUGUACCCUCUUCUAGAAAGCCUUAAGAAAUGUAUUUUAUUUAAAAUUUCAGUUUGACCUAAUGCAAAGACCACACUACAAGCACUAAAAAACACUAAUGUUCAUUUGGACUAAAACUCUCACCAUUAAACCAGAUAACCUUCCUCUCACUGUUGCGGAAGCAAA
rnacentral:lncRNA from 1 species